rnacentral:misc_RNA from 1 species
AAUGUUGCUGGAAAGAAGGUAAGCAUUGUGAAGGUAAAGAGGGCAAUCCAUCAGAUAAUUCCCUAAUCCUCGUGACUGACUUUUCUGUAUUUGUAGUUGUAGAUUACCUAAGGCUUUUACCCUUUUUCUUCUCCUUUUUGUAAGUGAUGAUCAUCUCAGUUAGGUGUGUAUAAUUUUAGAAACAUAUUAUUGCAGGGUUGAGACCAGGAGGUCAUUCCUGAAAUGUAAUCGACAAG